rnacentral:rRNA from 1 species
AACGAACGCUGGCGGCAUGCCUAACACAUGCAAGUCGAACGAGACCUUCGGGUCUAGCGGCGCACGGGUGCGUAACGCGUGGGAACCUGCCCUUAGGUUCGGAAUAACUCCCCGAAAGGGGUGCUAAUACCGGAUAAUGUCUUCGGACCAAAGAUUUAUCGCCUUUGGAUGGGCCCGCGUUGGAUUAGCUAGUUGGUAGGGUAAAAGCCUACCAAGGCGACGAUCCAUAGCUGGUCUGAGAGGAUGAUCAGCCACACUGGGACUGAGACACGGCCCAGACUCCUACGGGAGGCAGCAGUGGGGAAUAUUGGACAGUGGGCGAAAGCCUGAUCCAGCAAUGCCGCGUGAGUGAUGAAGGCCUUAGGGUUGUAAAGCUCUUUUACCCGGGAUGAUAAUGACAGUACCGGGAGAAUAAGCUCCGGCUAACUCCGUG